UCCGAAUUGGUGUAGUGGCCAACAUUUGACGCUCUCAAAACAUCCUGUUCCUACCCUCUCUUCAGUGAGAGAUGGAUGGAUGAUUGUGCCGUCAAGCCCGGGGUUCGAUUCCCCGAUUCGGAG